rnacentral:tRNA from 1 species
AGGAAGGUAGCUCAGUGGUAGAGUGCUUGCCUCACAUGCAUGAGGCCCUGGGUUUGAUUCUCGAUUUGUCAG